AGCCCGCCCGAGGUCGCCCCUCACCUCGGGCCGGGCGGACAUGGCCGCGCCCCGCCAUGGCCGGCGGCGUUGCCGUGGGGACGGGCCGGCGUCACCGGGACAGCGGCAAGAGCCGCGGCCCCCGCGGGCGUUCCCCCUCGGACGGGAAGAGGAGCAGUAUUUAAAAUAAUAAAGCAGGCUUAUAUGGUUUUUUGGUGCGGAAUUAAAUAACGUAGUAACUAGAGUUACUUCGCACCAGAAGUUAAAGGGAGACCACCGACUGGUUUUUAGCUUGAAUUUUAGCCUGGACAGCUCAAACCUUUCACUCGCUGUCAGCUGUUAUGAGAAAACAGCUUUAAUUAAUAAUGGUUGAGAUCGACCACUUUUAGUUCUUGAGGCAGUGUGACAGAUUAUGCCUGAAAUCCUUUUUGUUAAGGUAAAUGUAAUGUGAAAUUAUUGUUUCUUGAAAGAAGUAGAGGAAAUAGGUAUGGGCAGAAGCAACGAAUAAAGUCCUUUCACGUACUGAGUACUACACAACACUAUACACAUGCAAAUAGAAAGCUCCAAACACAGAAUGGAAAUUAAUACUAUUCCCCUAAUCCUAUUAUAGAUCCAUAUAUUGUUGAAUGAGCCAUCGCUCUGAAUAAAUUUUUAGGUUAUAAAGUUUUUACUGUGCUCAUCUCAUCACUUUCUCAUCUUUUGUGCUACUGAGCAGAUAAGAACAGUAUUCUGGGGCUUCCCUUUCCACUACGGUUCUGUUAUUUGGGCCCAUCAAAAUGCCUACGGAAUGAUAAAAAUUGGACUUAAGAUUUGAACUAGGAAGGAAUGAUUACCCAUUGUACAGUGACUGAAGUUAGGAAGCUAUGGUCAGCUUUCCAGUAUAUAUGUCCUUCUGAAGGCAAUAUGUGUGUCCUUCGAGGACAGUCAAGCAGAAAUACCCGGCUUCCAACACCACAGAGUUAACACAGCCAAGAUUUGUUUUACCAACUCAGAACUCAGACAGCAUCAGAACAAGAUACAGGGCAGGUUAUCAGGGGCCUUAAGAUGGUCAUUUCAAGGCAGAAAUUCAAGCACCUUGGAGCAAUCACUGGUUUCGAAGGGACUGCUUCUAUCAUUUAUGGUGGUACAGGAAAGGACAAGUUUAAGAAGAACAAUCCCCUUCAAGCUGUUCUUCAGCCAUAUAAAUUGAACUCACAAAGAUUUAUCUGUGUAAUCCCUGCCUCCACUUUGCUUGCCUGCCUCAUUGGGAUGCAGGGUGCCUGGUUUCUCAGUGUUCAUCACAGCACAGCUCCCACUGCCUACAGUUUGCAGUGGCAAGUGCUCAACACUUCUACAAAUUACACUCCUCCAUACCAAGCACCUCCAGAAACACAGUUAACAACCACAUGUGCAAAGUGACUCCUAUCACACAGGAAAUCUGUGGCAAAGGCAGGGAUACGAUUCAGUUCCCCAGGGCUGCGCUCAUGCCUUAAUCGUGAAAACAUUGUUUCCUUCUGUACAGUUGUCUGCUUCACUCACUGUGUCCUUACAACGGCUGCAACAAAGUACAGAUUGCACAGAGGUUUUACUAUGCAGUGAUUCAUCCUCCAGCGCAGGUCCUUUCUGUGCGCUAAAUAACACAGAGGAGCCACGGAAAACUCUCUCUGCCCAAAGGAAUGGCAUGCAGUUCCCUCUGCCUCACCACUCACAUAAUCCACCAGAGUCCUUGUCCUUUUGUCUGCCUCUUCUACCACCAAGAGAGCUGGGUGCAUGGCAGUGAUGGGAUUCCUGAUCCAAUUCCUGUGCUUAAUCAGGCCCGACUGCAGCAGCAGCGAGCGGCAGGAUCAGGGGAAAAUGUUUUGAACGCCAGUAGCCCCAAGGGCUGGAGCGUGCCCAGAUGUUUCAUGGAAUGGCUCUGGCAGACCAGUCACACACAGGUGUUUAUUGGCUUGAAGUAAAAGUCAGGAAUACCAAGAAUAAUUCAUCCGCCACUUGGCUCUUCAAACAGAACAGGAACGAGCACAACGUGCAAAUCUAAAGGGCAGAUAACAGCAGCUCUGAGCUAACACACACACUUUACCCGCGGAGCUGCUUGCCUGAUGAACUUUUUAUUUUCCUGGAAUGAACUCAUUUGAGUUAUGAAAACUGAUUAUGCAUAUUGUUACAGGCACGCAGCCAAGCAACCGUACAACUUGCUUUUUCACUAAUAUCUGUCAUUUUUAGGAACAAAACAUGCUGCUGCUAACUGCAAGUAUAAAUCUACUGCUUAGAAAUAUGAUUUGCAGUUUACUUUCUCUUUACAUUUAAAAGCUAUUUAAAAGCAAAAUAAAUGUAGCUGGAUCAAAAGUAGCAUUGUGUACUUAGAUUAAAUAUACUAAUUUUCACACUAAAGUUACUUUAGGGAGCAAAGACUUGCUAUAUGUGGCAAAUCAAAGGAGAAAUGUAAGAAACUAUUCCAAAGAGGUUUGUUACUCCGCAUGGCAAAAGCUGUGCACAGCCUCUCCGUGACCUGACUCUGCACGAUUUAUUGGUCAUCUUUAAUAAAGCGAAAUCCAAGCACCUUUUCUGUUUCGUUACUUCCAUUUUAGCACUUGCAGUAGCAGACAGACAGACAAAGUUUAGUUUUAGCCUGGGAGCUAAAAGAAAUACUUCCAACAUACAUAUGUACUGUUACGGUCUGACUUAUAAAUGCUCAGUAGUAAAGUCAGCAGGAAUUGAGCACUAAAACUGGAGAAGAGUAAAUGGAAAGAGGUCCUGCUGUAUUUGCAGACUCGUGGUAAUAAGGAGAGCGCUCCCGACUGCUCUUGGAAACUUGUCAUGUAAGUGAGUAAGGGGAGAGGUCAGACAGUGACAGACUGCUCUUCCUGCCUGAAAUGGGGGGUUGCUCCAAAUCUAGAAAACCAAAACUAGUUUGAAACAUGCAUUUAACUAAAAAUUAAUGUUAUUAAAGCAAAUUAUACCCAUCAUUUAGAAAUGUAGUCUGAAAGUACCGUAACUCCUGGCUUCUCUUCAGAUGAUGUCUGGCAGCGUGCUAUGUAUUAUCCACAAAGUAUCUUCCAGAAUCCCCAGCACCCUGGCUUCAGGAGCCACUCUGAAUCUCACUAAAUUCUGAUGAUUCUGAUGUCAUUUUCUAAGCUUAAAAUAUUCUUGCAAGUGACAUCAAUCAUGACUCAACUGGGCCUUUCCUGCCACAUAUGACAAAGGCUCCUAUUUUUAAACUUCCAGACAAACACAGCCUGUAUAAUUUAUUUAUUUUUUUGCCAAAAAUAUGUCAGUUCAAAUCUCACUGUUCUGAGCAUAUUCUGUUCUUUUGGGAUACUUGUCAGCUGGCCUAUUUGUAUCAGGUUUAUAAGAAAUUAAAUGUUUUUCAAGAAGCAAAAUAACAGACUUGGAGAACAGAGCUUCCACCUUGCAUUAUUCAUAGAAUUUGUGAAAAUCUGUGGUUCUAUUGUCAAGAAGCACAGAGACUAAUUGCACAGAGCCAACAAUUCACUCAGUGUGGUGGUUAAAAUGGAUAAAAAUGAUUUGUACUAGUGCUUGCAGUCUCUUGGAAAAGUCAAAUACUGUCUUGACAUUCUAAAACCCAGGCUGUACAGCAAAAGUGGGAGAGUACCAUUUCAUAUUAAUUUAAAAAUGCGUAAAACGGAUUAUCCCCUUCUAGCACUCAGUAGUUGACUGCUUCCUGGAGACUUGAGAUGCUGAUUGUAACUGGCGACACUCUUCCAACUCAUUGUGGCUCUCAUUCGUCUUCCAGCAGAGCAGUGAAAGUUUUACUUCCUACGUAGAAAGAUAUUUGCUUCCUAUGUAAAAAAAUAUUUACAGAGAUUCCCCAUAACCAGUUUUCCCACUUGGAGUAAGCUGUAAAUGUUCAUCUCCCCUGUUUCCCAUGCAUGGUGGGCUCGCCAUUCCCAUGAACUAGCUGUUCCUCUUGUGCAAAUCCCUAGCCCAUGCAUGUAUCUCCAUGCAUUUCAGUACUGUCACUUCAGGUUCAUACUGUUCACUUUAAUCACCUUGCAGGGUUCAAAGGACACCUGGACAUAUUCUCAUCUCUAGUCUCUAAAACAUUCACCAAAAGUUCCAGUAUAAAGGAUUUGUUGUAUUUCUUUGGUUCACAACAUUUAUGUCCUUACCAUACAUCUGUUAGACUCUACUUUUUUUACUCUGCUUAAGUAGAAUGAUGCACAGGUGUAAUUGAACUGACAAAAGUGUUAAUAUUUUUCUAGAACAGAUAACUUAUAUUUAGUACAACUGACAUUUUACUCAUUGUUCUUGUUAGUACCCACAUUUAUUCUAAAAGAAUUGUGAAAUGAAAUCAUCAAAAAAGGUACCAGCUGCCUAAGUCUUCUGAAGCCUCUGUCUGAGUCUGUCUUAGACAUUACAAAAACAUGCAAGAAGGCUUAGAGAUAGUCUCAAAAAAAAAAAAAAAAAAGAAUAGAAAAGGAAUAUCCAGGUGGCUUUUAAACUGCGGAAUACAAUAAAGUAGAGUUUGGAAAGUAUUACACAGAAAUAUAGUAACAAGAAAACCCAAGAUACACCGUUUACAAGUUGAAAUAUAUAGUGCUGUGCCUUUGCGUGAGCCAAGAUCAGUAAAGCAGACAGAGCUCACCCUACAGGGUUUGAGAACUGCGUGACAGCUCCGAGUUUACAAACGUGUGACUGGCAGCUUCCAGGCGUGCUGAGCAACACCAGAAAAUCUUUUAAGGCUUAAGGUUAAUGAAGGUUAAUUAUUCUGAAACACUGUUUUGUAGAUUUCAGUAAUAAUUACCUAAAGUGACAGCGAUGAAUUGCUGCCUCCAUUUUGAGAGCACUUGGGAAAUUACUUAAAAGUGUGUGAGAAGAUUUAUCAGGAACACACUGUAGGUGUAAAAGAAAGGAAGCCCUGGAAAGACAGCUAAGCAGCAAAGGGCAGGGCCACCUAAUGCCAUCCUACAAUUUCCAUUAAAUAAUUCAGACAAAAAGUCAAUAGAUUUAUCAGCCACACAUAUUUACUACCAUGUGUUUGACAGGACUUUGAGGUGUUUGCAUUGAAAUUCACUCCCAGAUUCUAAUCUCAGAUAUUAAUCCAAAGAUAAUAACCAGAUGGCUCUCACACGUUUGAUUACUUGCCGAAAUAUUUAUCAUCUUUGCUGAUUGCAUCUUAUCUUAAAGCCAGACCCUGAGCUCAGAGAAGUCAUCAGCUUGGUUCCAGGGUAAGAGCUGCCAACCCCAUUGUGAGGAGUGUUACAGAAGUCAAGACCACACAUGAAAUGAGGCACUAAAGUUCAACAGUAAAAGCUGAACAGCAAGACCUGGCAUUAGAUUACAAGGUCUUCAGAGCAAAGGCAUUCCUGAUUUCCCAGGCACAGAAAGACAAGAGGUAAAACUCUGAUACUGUUAAAAUAAAAAUGAAACUUUUCUAACUUC